rnacentral:lncRNA from 1 species
AUAGAAAUGAAUUGUGAAUAAGAAGAUAUUACUUGUGAAUCUCAUUACAUAUGAUCAAAAAUAAUGUAACAAUUUAUAAGACAACUAUAAACGGAUGCCAAAUAUUUAAUCUAACCCAUAAAUAUUUGGGGAAGGCACCCCAAAUAUUCAUAUGCUUUCGAAAUGAAAGCGUCAAUAAGUUCAUAUUUCCCCACUCACAAAAGAAGGGUCUUGUAUAAAAGUAUUAAAAUCUUUCUUUGGCUCCACUUACUGAUAUUUGUGUGAAUUUCCAUUGUUAAUCUUCUGCCUAAAGUCAAGU